AUACGUAGGGUGCGAGCGUUAAUCGGAAUUACGUGGGCGUAAAGCGUGCGCAGGCGGUUUCGUAAGACAGAUGUGAAACUCCCCGGGCUUAACCUGGGAACUGCGUUUGUGACUGCGAGACUAGAGUGUGGCAGAGGGGGGUGGAAUUCCACGUGUAGCAGUGAAAUGCGUAGAGAUGUGGAGGAACACCGAUGGCGAAGGCAGCCCCCUGGGUUAACACUGACGCUCAUGCACGAAAGCGUGGGUAGC
rnacentral:rRNA from 1 species